CAGCCGCCGCGGUAAUACGUAGGGUGCAAGCGUUCAUCGGAAUUACUGGGCGUAAAGCGUGCGCAGGCGGUUCGGAAAGAAAGAUGUGAAAUCCCAGAGCUUAACUUUGGAACUGCAUUUUUAACUACCGGGCUAGAGUGUGUCAGAGGGAGGUGGAAUUCCGCGUGUAGCAGUGAAAUGCGUAGAUAUGCGGAGGAACACCGAUGGCGAAGGCAGCCUCCUGGGAUAACACUGACGCUCAUGCACGAAAGCGUGGGGAGCAAACAGGAUUAGAUACCCUGGUAGUCCACGCCCUAAACGAUGUCAACUAGCUGUUGGGGCCUUCGGGCCUUGGUAGCGCAGCUAACGCGUGAAGUUGACCGCCUGGGGAGUACGGUCGCAAGAUUAAAACUUAAAGGAAUUGGCGGG
rnacentral:rRNA from 1 species